CUUCCCUUCCUGCCUGCCGCGGCCGGGAUCGGCCGGGAGGGGCGGGCCCCUGGACUCCCCCUCGCUCCAGCCGGGAGCUGCUCGGGGGCCGGGCAGCUGCUGGGGGCGGCUCCCUCCCUCCUCCGCCCCCCAACCCGCAAAGUUUGGGGGGUCCGGGCCCGCUCCUAAGGGCGGAGCCGCUAACGCUGCAGGACGGCCAGGAUCGGGCCCACGGCUGGGCACACCUGAGCGCUGUGAGCCGGGGCGGGCCAGGGCUCAGGAGGAGCUGGGUCGCCAGGGCUGUGCUGCCCCAGGCGUGUGGGCCGAGCCCAGGCUGCGUGUGCCGGGCUGAGGGGAGCCAAAGCAGGUCGCUCUGACUGUAAACUGAGCAAAACUGACCUGGAGCGACUGAGAGAGACGGUGUGAGAGAGAAAAGAUGGAGCCGCACAAAGCCGUUCCCCCACCCUCCCUCAUUUGACUCUAGCAGCGCUACAGAGUUUGCAGCGUGAUAUGUGCCUAAGGCGUCCUUCGCAAGGGACUCUCUGCCUAACACAUCCUUUGUCAGGGAUUCACUCGAGAGGAUUUCAGUCAUUUCUCCUGCCGACCUGCAAAUGUUUCCCUCUCCUUCCCGACAAGUUGAAUUGGGGUUAGCUGGCAGGGCUGGGGACAAAGCGCUUGGCCUGCCCACUAAAAAUAGAAAGCAUUCAAUGUUAUUCCCCGAAGUGCCACCCUAGGGAAGGGAACUUUCAGGAAUAGCAUCACAGCGUCUAAUCGAGCGGAUUGGCCAAGGCUGUGAGAUCACUUGCAGAAGCUCUGCCUCCUGGAGGCAGGACUGGAGCGGAGGGAAUACACCAGCUCAGAAGCUCCUUAGUUAAAAGGUUCUCCUCUGCUCUUCCCCUCUCCAAAACAAAAAACUGUGUGCAAGACAGGAAAACUUCUGAAAUCACUGAGACAUUUUCCACAAAAGACAUACCACUGCAUAAGUAUGCAACACACCCGUCCUAUUAUGACUGCAUCUCUAUCUGAGUAAAGUGUGCCAGGUAGAAAUGCUCAUGCCAGAUACACAUUAAAUGAGUCAAGCAACCCCUUUUCAAUGCAUGCACUGACUGUAGGUUCAGUAACAUGCCCUCACUCAGCCCCAUUGAAGUCAGUGGGGCUCCACCCAGGUAGAGGCAUUGGCAGGAUUUAGCUCCUAAUUGUUUGACACUAACAAUUAUAUAUAUUGUAAUAAAACAAAUGUCUUUGCCCACAUCAUUAACACUACCAUAUCAGUUUCAUUUUGCCUUAGAGUCAUUUUCACUUUAAUGUUCUUAGUAAAGCAAUGUUGGGGUUUCAAAUAUGUUUGUUUGGAGAAUGUUUUUAAACAAACAAUGUUAUAGACACUUUUAAAUGGAAAAAAUGUCUGUUGGUCUUAUAUUUUAUAAAUGUUUAAAAUAAUUGAAAAUUUAGGCCAAAUCUUAAAUGCGUGCUGCAACAUAUCAUGAAAAUGUCUAUUGCCCAUGCUCAGUUCAGUAUUUUUUAAUGUUAAUAACUAUGGGUGAAUCCUCCUUCAAUAGAAGUCAAUGGGUGUUUUACUACUAACACCAGAGGGGUCAGAACUGAACUCAUUGUUACAUAUGAGAGGCAGCACGGUCUAAUACAGUGGUCUUCAACCUUUUGGGGUCUGUACUUCUCAAAAUACCAGCAAAUCAUCAAUGACCCACCCUAUGCGGGAAUAACAAGGGGCUAUUUUGUGGGAGUAAGUGAUAACAGGGUAGGAGGAGCUGCUGGUUGGAGUCUUGUAGGGGAGGCUGGCUCUACUGGAAGGUGGGUGCGGGUUGAUAAUGCCUGGGUACUGUGGGUUGAGGCUGCUAAUACUGCUAGGUAGGGGGCUUAUGGAAUAGGUAAGAGGGACUGGUACUGUUGUGUUCUUCCCUCAUUCUCGCCUCAUAUUCCCUCAUUUUCAAUGAACAUCACUCAUUUUUGUCCCAAAGUUAUUUACAUUGCACACAAAUUUGGUGUCCCCUCACUUGUACUGCUAAAAAUUAUUUGAAUAAAAAUUAAAGAAUUCUGAAACUGAA